rnacentral:rRNA from 1 species
AUGGUCAGGAUACCCCGGGAACUGGGUUUUAUACUCCAUAAGUCAGGAGUACUGGAAUGUCUCCUAACUGAAAGUUGCGGCGCCAUAGGAUGAAUCUGCGGCCGAUUAGGUAGUUGUUGGGGUAACGGCCCAACAAGCCUGUAAUCGGUACUUGUUGUGGGAGCAAGAGCCCGGAGAUGGAAUCUGAGACACGAUUCCAGGCCCUACGGGGCGCAGCAGGCGCCACCCCCCCACAAUGCAGGAAACUGUGAUAAGGGAACCCCGAGUGCCCGUAAACGCGGGCUGUCCCGGUGUUUAAAACACAUCGGAAGAAAGGGCCGGGCAAGACCGGUGCCAGCCGCCGCGGUAAUACCGGCGGCUCGAGUGGUGACCACUUUUAUUGGGCUUAAAGCGUUCGUAGCUUGAUUUUUAAGUCUCUUGGGAAAS